rnacentral:rRNA from 1 species
UACGUAGGGCGCAAGCGUUGUCCGGAAUUAUUGGGCGUAAAGAGCUCGUAGGUGGUUUGUCGCGUCUGCCGUGAAAACCCGAGGCUUAACCUCGUGGCUUGCGGUGGAUACGGGCAGACUAGAGGUAGGUAGGGGAGAAUGGAAUUCCCGGUGUAGCGGUGAAAUGCGCAGAUAUCGGGAGGAACACCGGUGGCGAAGGCGGUUCUCUGGGCCUUACCUGACGCUGAGGAGCCAAAGCGUGGGGAGCGAACAGG